AGGAGUUUGAUCCUGGCUCAGAAUCAACGCUGGCGGCGCGCUUAACACAUGCAAGUCGCACGAGAAAGCAGGAGCAAUCUUGUGAGUAAAGUGGCGUACGGGUGAGUAACACGUGGAUCAUCUACCUUCUAGUGGGGCAUACCUCUGGGAAACCGGAGAUAAUUCCGCAUAAGCUCGUAAGAGGAAAGCCGAAAGGCGCUGGAAGAGGAGUCCGCGGCUGAUUAGCUAGAUGGCGGGUAACGGCCCACCAUGGCGAAGAUCGGUAGCCGGCCUGAGAGGGCACACGGCCACACUGGCACUGAAACACGGGCCAGACUCCUACGGGAGGCAGCAGUGGGGAAUCUUGCACAAUGGAGGCAACUCUGAUGCAGCGACGCCGCGUGAGCGAUGAAGCCCUUCGGGGUGUAAAGCUCUUUCGACGGGAAAGAUGAUGACGGUACCCGGAGAAGAAGCUGCGGCUAACUACGUGCCAGCAGCCGCGGUAAUACGUAGGCAGCGAGCGUUGUUCGGAAUUACUGGGCGUAAAGAGUGUGUAGCGGUGCUCCAAGUCUGGGUGAAAUCUCCCGG
rnacentral:rRNA from 1 species